rnacentral:rRNA from 1 species
GACCGAUAGUGAACAAGUACCGUGAGGGAAAGGUGAAAAGCACUCCUAACAGGAGGGUGAAAUAGUACCUGAAAUCACAUGCUUACAAACGGUAGGAGCGAUCCUAUCAGUGCUUGCACUGGUAGGAGAGUGACUGCGUGCCUUUUGCUUAAUGAGCCUACGAGUUGCUCGUACGAUGCAAGGUUAAGUCUCUCAAGAGACGUAGCCGUAGGGAAACCAAGUCUGAAUAGGGCGAAUCAGUAUCGUGCGGCACACGCGAAACCGGGUGAUCUACCCAUGACCAGGAUGAAGUGAGGGUAAAACCUCAUGGAGGUCCGAACCAGUGAGGGUUGAAAACUUCUUGGAUGAGUUGUGGGUAGGAGUGAAAAGCUAAUCGAACCCGGAGAUAGCUCGUACUCCUCGAAAUAGCUUUAGGGCUAGCCUCAGGUAAGAGUGUCGCGGAGGUAGAGCACUGAUUGGGCUAGGGUCGUCACAACGAUACCAAACCCAGACAAACUCCGAAUUCCGUUGACAUGUUUCCUGGGAGUCAGGCGACGGGGGAUAAGCUUCGACGCCGAGAGGGGAAUAACCCAGACCAACCGCUAAGGUCCCCAAAUCAAGGUUCACAGACAAAGGAUGUUGGGUUGCAGUGACAACUAGGAUGUUGGCUUAGAAGCAGCCAUUCAUUUAAAGAGUGCGUAAUAGCUCACUAGUCAAGCGACCCAGCGCCAAUAAUACUCGGGACUAAACCUUGUACCGAAGCGAUGGAUUGUCCGCAAGGACAGUGGUAGAGGAGCAUUCUAUGUGCGAUCCAGGCGAACUGGAGCCUUCGGGCGAAGGUGUGGCGCGAGCCAUGCUGGAGCGCAUAGAAACGCAGAUGUAGGCAUAAGUAACGAUAAGACAGACGGAAAAUCUGUCCACCGAAAAUCUAAGGUUUCCUGAGCAACGUUAAUCGUCUCAGGGUUAGUCGGGCCCUAAGCCGAGGCCGAAAGGCGUAGGCGAUGGAAAACAGGUUGAAUAUUCCUGUACCUGUAUGCAGUCGUCUGACUAUGAGGGGUGACGCAGGAGUGAAGACCAGCCGUCUGCUGACUUAGACGGUCUAAGGUGGUAGGGGUCUCGGGUAGGCAAAUCCGCCCGGGAGUUAUCUCCGAGAGCCGAACGGGAAGGCGCAAGCCUACAAACUGGUCGUAAUCAUGCUGCCGAGAAAAACCUCGCAUAGGAGACUGUAGACAGUCCGUACCGCAAACCGACACAGGUAGAUGGGGAUGAAUGUCCUCAGGUGCUCGAGUGAGCCAUGGUCAAGGAACUCGGCAAACUGACCCUGUAACUUCGGGAUAAAGGGUGUCUCGACGCGUGAGAGGGCUUGCCCCUCAGAGCGCUUCAAGAUCGCAGUGAAACGGGCCAAGCGACUGUUUAACAAAAACACAUCACUUUGCGAAGACGUGAAGUCGACGUAUAAGGUGUGACACCUGCCCGGUGCCGGAAGGUUAAGGAGAGAGGUCAAUCCCCGCAAGGGGACGAAGCUUUGAACCGAAGCCCCGGUAAACGGCGGCCGUAACUAUAACGGUCCUAAGGUAGCGAAAUUCCUUGUCGGGUAAGUUCCGACCUGCACGAAUGGUGUAACGAUUUGG